rnacentral:rRNA from 1 species
UACGUAGGGUGCGAGCGUUAAUCGGAAUUACUGGGCGUAAAGCGUGCGCAGGCGGUCUGUUAAGACCGAUGUGAAAUCCCCGGGCUUAACCUGGGAACUGCAUUGGUGACUGGCAGGCUUUGAGUGUGGCAGAGGGAGGUAGAAUUCCACGUGUAGCAGUGAAAUGCGUAGAGAUGUGGAGGAAUACCGAUGCGAAGGCAGCCUCCUGGGCCAACACUGACGUGAGAAGCGAAAGCAUGGGGGAGCGAACAGG